UACGGAGGGGGCUAGCGCUGUUCGGAAUUACUGGGCGUAAAGCGCACGCAGGUGGCUGAGUCAGUCGAUUGUGAAAGCCCUGGGCUUAACCUAGGAAUUGCAGUCGAUACUACUCGGCUAGAGUAUGGGAGAGGGCAGUGGAAUUCCCGGUGUAGCGGUGAAAUGCGUAGAUAUCGGGAGGAACAUCAGUGGCGAAGGCGGCUGCCUGGCCCAAUACUGACACUCAGGUGCGACAGCGUGGGGAGCAAACAGG
rnacentral:rRNA from 1 species